UUGCAUAUUGGUGGUAAGUAUUAGGAUA
rnacentral:sRNA from 1 species